GAGAACCCCAGUUGUGUUCCAAUAAGAGGCAGAAACCUCUUGGUCUCAGGAAAGAUAGAAUCCAUCCCCCAACCUUGUGAUGAAUUCUAUUUGGGUUGAGACAGUCACAGUAAAUCCAUCCCCCUUGCCUGAUUUCCACUUUCCCAGCCUCCUUCACCACAAGCAAUGCCAUGAGACACUCUUCUGGUCAAUGAGAUUUGAAAAGCCAGGUGGGAGCUCCUGGCUGCUACACCGCUGCUUACUUCCCUCUCUGCACACGGUGCUGGAAUGUGGACACGAUGCCUGGAGCUGCAGCAGCCUUGUUGGGUCAAUAAGACAUCAAGUAGGAGAAGCAAAAGCCAACACUGCUAGUAAUAUUCUAUUUCCUGAUUGUUACAUUUGUAACAUGUAACACACAUUUUGUGAGAAUUCAAGGAGCUGUGCAUUUUUCUGUUAGUGUGUUAUACCUCACCAAAACAGUUAAGUAAAAAUCUAACACCUUGAGGAUGGCAGAGCAAACCCCUGAAAACAUGGGUGAACUGGUUAACCAGCCUCAAAUACUGUAACUUGGAGCUUCUGAUUAAGAGAAUCAAAAGCCUUUGUUGCUUAAUUACUAGGUUUUCUAAUACUUGCA
rnacentral:lncRNA from 1 species